rnacentral:rRNA from 1 species
UACGUAGGGACCAAGCGUUGUUCGGAUUUACUGGGCGUAAAGGGCGCGUAGGCGGCAAUUCAAGUCACUUGUGAAAUCUCCGAGCUUAACUCGGAACGGUCAAGUGAUACUGUCGGACUAGAGUACAGAAGGGGCAACUGGAAUUCUCGGUGUAGCGGUGAAAUGCGUAGAUAUCGAGAGGAACACCUGCGGCGAAGGCGGGUUGCUGGGCUGAUACUGACGCUGAGGCGCGAAAGCCAGGGGAGCAAACGGG